AGAGUUUGAUCCUGGCUCAGAUUAAACGCUGGCGGCAUGGCUAAAACAUGCAAGUCGAACGAUCCCUUCGGGGAGAGUGGCGAAAGGGCGAGGAAUACGAUCGAAUGUACCCCGAGGUGGGGGAUAGCUUGUGGAAACGCAAGGUAAUACCCCAUGAUCUCUACGGAGCAAAGGCUUGCCGCCUUGGGAGCAGCGAUCGUCCUAUCAGGUAGUUGGUGAGGUAACGGCUCACCAAGCCGAAGACGGGUAGCGGGUGUGAGAGCAUGACCCGCCGCAUCGGGACUGAGACACUGCCCGGACUCCUACGGGAGGCUGCAGUAACGAAUCUUCCGCAAUGGGCGAAAGCCUGACGGAGCAAUGCCGCGUGUGGGAUGAAGCAUCUUCGAUGUGUAAACCACUGUCAGGGACUAGCAACCAUGAGCAGUCCCAGAGGAAGGGCCGGCUAAUUCUGUGCCAGCAGCCGCGGUAAUACAGAAGGCCCGAGCGUUAAUCGGAAUCACUGGGCUUAAAGCGUACGCAGGCGGAUCGGUAGGUAUCUCGUGAAAUCCCACGGCUCAACCGUGGAACUGCGGGGUAAACCAUCGAUCUUGAGGCAGGUAGGGGUCAACGGAACCAUGUGUGGACCGGUGAAAUGGAUAGAUAUACAUGGGAACGCCAAUGGCGAAGGCAGUUGACUGGGCCUGACCUGACGCUCGGGUACGAAAGCGUGGGGAGCGAACGGGAUUAGAUACCCCGGUAGUCCACGCCGUAAACGAUGCACACUAGGUCGGGGAGGCUUUCACGCCCUCCCGGCCGAAGGAAAACCAUUAAGUGUGCCGCCUGGGGAGUACGGUCGCAAGGCUAAAACUCAAAGGAAUUGACGGGGGCUCACACAAGCGGUGGAGCAUGUUGCUUAAUUCGAGGCAACGCGAAGAACCUUACCUGGUCUUGACAUGUACGGAUUAACCCCUGGAAACAGGGGCCACGCCCUUGGGUGGAACGUACACAGGUGCUGCAUGGCUGUCGUCAGCUCGUGCUGUGAAGUGUCGGGUUAAGUCCCUUAACGAGCGCAACCCCUAUCGUUAGUUACUAACGCGUUAUGGCGAGGACUCUAACGAGACUGCCGGUGUCAAACCGGAGGAAGGUGGGGAUGACGUCAAGUCCUCAUGGCCCUUACGACCAGGGCUGCAAACGUGCUACAAUGGUAUGGACAGGGCGACGCAAGACCGCGAGGUGGAGCAAAUCGCACAAACCAUGCCCCAGUUCGGAUAGCAGGCUGAAAUUCGCCUGCUUGAAGCCGGAAUCGCUAGUAAUCGCGUAUCAGCUACGACGCGGUGAAUACGUUCCUGAGCCUUGUACACACCGCCCGUCACGUCAUGGAAGCUGCUAGUGCCCGAAGUCACCUCAUCUCAGGGGUGCCUACGGCAAGAGUGGUGACUGGGACGAAGUCGAAACAAGGUA
rnacentral:rRNA from 1 species